AGAAGGCCUGCAUCUGGAGUUGUGAAAUCAAUCCUUCAGAUGCUGUACUCUGGAGUUGUGAAAUCAAUCCUUCACAAACUCCUUUGCAUUUUGAGUUGAAGGGUGAAACUUUGGAACAACAAACACUAAUGAGGCCCAGAUUGUUGGGUUGUAUAUGCCUAACGCAUGAACUCUUUGGGUUACACAUUUAUGAAAAUAGAUGCAACUGUGUGAAUAAAGUUGAGACCAAAUUUGGGCACCAUAUUGAUUUGAGCAUUGUUGAAAAAACUAAGUUGGAGUAUUUCAGUGAACUCUUGAAAGCUAUUGAGUCUGGGACUAGAAGUUGUGGGCAGGAGGUGGCCUGGCACUCUCUUUUAUAUCCACCACAUUUGUUUAUGACCGGCACUUUCACUAAAGGGCAUGGAACUAGCACCCAAACCAAUGCAGGGACGUCUGGUACAGGUAUCGCUCCUACUAUCUGGUUACAGCAAAUAGCGCAUACAUCUUCAAACGAGCUUAGUUCUGUGACAUCUGCCUGUCUACCAAGCAAAGCACGUCAGUGCCCAGAUUAUCUGAUUGGUUGUGCUUUGGAAACAUUGUUUCUUUGACAAAUGAAAUGAAAUGUUACCUGAAACCCCACACCUCAGGAGUG